rnacentral:rRNA from 1 species
GACGAACGCUGGCGGCGUGCUUAACACAUGCAAGUCGAACGAACAGGCCCUGCUUUUGUGGCGCUCUCGUGAGGCGCGGGCGUGUGAAACACGCGUGGAACACCCCCUUGUCUGUGGGAUAAAUUCUCGAAAAUGGGGAGAAUACCCCAUAGAAUAUCUUGCUCCGUAGUGUGGGUUGGAAAAUUUCGGGGUUGUGGGUAGGACUCGCGGCGUAUCAGCUUGUUGGGGGGGUAAUGGAUAGCCAAGCCUUGGAAGGGAAGCCGGCCUGAGGGGGUGACCGGCGACCCAGGGACUGAGAGACGGCCCAGGCUCGUACGGGAGGGAGCAGUGGGGAAUAUUGCAGAAGGGGCGCAAGCCUGAUGCAGCAACGCCGCGUGUGGGAUGACUGCCUUCGGGGUGUAAACCGCUUUCUCCGGAGACGAAGCGGUAGUGACGGUACCUGGUCAAAAAGCACCGGCUAACUACGUG